rnacentral:pre_miRNA from 1 species
AGAGGGAGGCCGGAUCCUGGGCUGUGUCCCUGGCGCCCUGUGCUCCUGGUCCUGCACUGUUGGAUUCGCCCUCCCAGCCACGCAGCCCCCC